GAUGAACGCUGGCGGCGUGCUUAACACAUGCAAGUCGAACGGAAAGGCCCAAGCUUGCUUGGGUACUCGAGUGGCGAACGGGUGAGUAACACGUGGGUGAUCUGCCCUGCACUUCGGGAUAAGCCUGGGAAACUGGGUCUAAUACCGGAUAGGACCACUUCUUGGAUGUUGUGGUGGAAAGUUUUUUCGGUGUGGGAUGAGCUCGCGGCCUAUCAGCUUGUUGGUGGGGUAAUGGCCUACCAAGGCGUCGACGGGUAGCCGGCCUGAGAGGGUGUACGGCCACAUUGGGGCUGAGAUACGGCCCAGACUCCUAAGGGGGGCAGCAGUGGGGAAUAUUGCACAAUGGGCGCAAGCCUGAUGCAGCGACGCCGCGUGGGGGAUGACGGCCUUCGGGUUGUAAACUCCUUUCGCUAGGGAAGAAGCGUUUUGUGACGGUACCUGGAGAAGAAGCACCGGCUAACUACGUG
rnacentral:rRNA from 1 species